ACUUUGUUGAUAGUUGCUCGUCAGGUUCAAAAAGUAUUUUUACAACAAUCUUAAAAGAAGCAGAGAAAAUGAAUUUUGUUUUUCAUGUGACUGUUAGUUUGAUAGUGAUGUUUGGUAUUGGUUUUUCUGCUGGAUCCAAUUAUUGCAAAGAUAAUUGGGUGUUGAUUUUCCAUGCACGAAGCGGAAAUGGCAAAAAUGUCUUACAAGCAUGGAAAACCAGACACAACAACUGUGAUAUCGUAUCUCAAAUCUGUCCAUGUUCGAUCAGUGAUGGCUGUCUGCCGCCUAAUGCCAGAAUUGAAUGCCUCAAAUCAGCUACAGAAACUUUAAGAAGUCCCUUUAUAGAUUACUGGGAUUGCCUAAAAAUCAAGAAGGUCAAAUUUGAGUUGAAAGUUCGGGGGAAAACAGUGGCUUUUAUUGAAUUUGAUGGAAAAAAUUCGAACUAUCUAAACUGGUUUCACAACAGCAGGAUUUUGAAGUCAAGUUGGAAUGAUAUGCAUAAAAGUCAAACUUACAAUUUUUUCUCAAUCGACAAGUAGGUAUCUUAGAAUAAGCAAUUUGCGGAACAUCUAAAUACAAUACUGUGCAUGUAUUGUUUAAUCGUUUUUUAUGAUACGUGCUUGCGAUGAAAAAUAUUGAUAAUGAAUGUCAGCGAAAAUAAAGUACAUUUAUUAAACGUCUUUCGAAAUAUUGCUUCCAUUUUUUUAAAUAACAAAACAUCAAAUAUGAUAGUACAAUAAAAGGUUAUAAACGUCUUAAUUUGAAAAACAAUAUUGGUAUGAUAUGACUUAUCAUAUUAUGCAUUCUCAUUCAAAGUAUUUACUCGUUUUAGAGAAUCAAGGUAUUACAGACACUUUUUCAUCAACAAAAACUACGGAGGAUGCCCGAGGGAUCUUGGAUGGUUAGCUGUAAAGGAUUCUGCUAAUUUCAGGGGGGCGUGUGGCUGGGAUAAACAUAACUCUUAUCCUCAAUUUUUGUACGGUCGAAAUGGAAAAGUCACCAGAUGGAACGAUAUGAAAUUUGGGAAAGCGGAAGAUCUCAACAUUUACAUCCAAAUGGGAUAUUAGUCUUGUCUGAAUUCAAUAAAAACAUUGUUAUUCAUGAU
rnacentral:misc_RNA from 1 species